UACGAAAGGGGGGCUAGCGUUGCUCGGAAUCACUGGGCGUAAAGGGUGCGUAGGCGGGUCUUUUAAGUCAGGGGUGAAAUCCUGGAGCUCAACUCCAGAACUGCCUUUGAUACUGAAGAUCUUGAGUUCGGGAGAGGUGAGUGGAACUGCGAGUGUAGAGGUGAAAUUCGUAGAUAUUCGCAAGAACACCAGUGGCGAAGGCGGCUCACUGGCCCGAUACUGACGCUGAGGCAC
rnacentral:rRNA from 1 species